UUCAACGUGUACCUUUAUCACCUUCUAGCCUGAUCUCAUCAGCUCUCAGAAGGUAAGUGAGGUUGUGUCUGGUCAGUACUGGAGUGGGAGACUUUCAAGGAAAGCCAGGUACUGUUGUUA
rnacentral:rRNA from 1 species